GACGGCGGGUUGUCUCCAGUGACGGCUGGACGGCAUUUCUCCAAAUAAUUUGCGUUGAUGUUACAUGCUGGAAUGCUCGUAGGUUUUUCCAUCAGUACCAAGGCAGACAAAACUAUUGCAAGAGCUGCAAAUUUCAGAAAGGAUCUGGGAAUAGGCAUAAGGAGACAAGUUUCUAGAUAAUCAAGAAAGUAGAAAGUACUUUAUUCUUUUCAUAAUACAGUAUGUAGUAAUAUAGAACAUAGUUUAUCUAUGUAAUAGAGAAGGUGAUUUGAGAACUUAUUCGAAUCAGAACAGCA